ensembl:antisense
UGGGCACCCGCCGGCCUCCCAUCUGGGCCCGCAUUUUCGAACCGCCCCCGAAGUGGCUUUGAAGCAGGGAACCCCGACUUUAAGCGAUCAGGUGUUGAAGCCCGACAGAUGCAGACCGAGGCGAUCCGCGGCGCCCUCUACUGGUCACCAAUAGAAAUGUAUCUCUACAGCCUUGGGGAAGCUUUGCAAGUAAUUGGGUCAUGGAAAGAAAGACUGAAUAAACACUGAGGCUUGUGUACUAGACAUGACUGGAAAAUCGGAGAACACCUAAACUUGAACAUUUGGAAAGGAGCUAGAGUGGAAGGAGCGCCGGACUGUUAAAUCAGGGCCCACCCAGCUCUUCUUGGUCUCCCUGUAAGGCCAAAUCAUCACUGCAGGGCUCAGCAUCGAAGCCUUGUUUACCUUCUUUAGUGAACAGACUGAGCAAUAUGGGUGAUGGGCACAAGGAGGAAAGGAGAAUGCCUUUUGGUUAUUAUUAAAUGCCUUUUGGUUAUUGUGCAGGUGUCCAGGGGGCCAGAGAGAGGCGAACGGGUACAGAAUUAGAAUUCUGAAAAUAAUUAAGGAGUCAUUUAGAAAUCUCUGCCUCCAGAGUGUCUUGGAAAUAUAAGUGUUCCCGAGGGAUGCAGUUUCCCAGCUACAUCUGCAAAAAAUUGCUGUGCCUGGAGGUAAGGACCCCACUUCCUCUAA